rnacentral:rRNA from 1 species
AGUGAACGCUGGCGGUAGGCCUAACACAUGCAAGUCGAACGGCAGCACAGUAAGAGCUUGCUCUUACGGGUGGCGAGUGGCGGACGGGUGAGGAAUACAUCGGAAUCUACUUUUUCGUGGGGGAUAACGUAGGGAAACUUACGCUCAUACCGCAUACGACCUACGGGUGAAAGCAGGGGAUCUUCGGACCUUGCGCGAUUGAAUGAGCCGAUGUCGGAUUAGCUAGUUGGCGGGGUAAAGGCCCACCAAGGCGACGAUCCGUAGCUGGUCUGAGAGGAUGAUCAGCCACACUGGAACUGAGACACGGUCCAGACUCCUACGGGAGGCAGCAGUGGGGAAUAUUGUACAAUGGGCGCAAGCCUGAUCCAGCCAUACCGCGUGGGUGAAGAAGGCCUUCGGGUUGUAAAGCCCUUUUGUUGGGAAAGAAAAGCAGCAGGUUAAUACCCCGCUGUUCUGACGGUACCCAAAGAAUAAGCACCGGCUAACUUCGUG